CACGUAGGGGGCGAGCGUUGUCCGGAUUUAUUGGGCGUAAAGAGCUCGUAGGCGGCUCAGUAAGUCGGGUGUGAAAACUCCAGGCUCAACCUGGAGACGCCACCUGAUACUGCUGUGGCUAGAGUCCGGUAGGGGAGCAUGGAAUUCCUGGUGUAGCGGUGAAAUGCGCAGAUACUAGGAGGAACACCGAUUGCGAAGGCAGCUCGCUGGGACGUCACUGACGCUGAGGAGCGAAAAGCGUGGGGAGCGAACGG
rnacentral:rRNA from 1 species